AUACCUGGCAGGGGAGAUAACAUGAUCACAAAGGUGGUUUUCCCAGGCAAGUCUUACCCAUUGCACUCCAGAUGUGCUGACCCCUUUGAUUUCCCCACAUGUGGGAAACUCAACUGCAUAAUUUGUGGUAGUUCAC
rnacentral:snRNA from 1 species